GAUGAACGCUGGCGGCGUGCCUAAUACAUGCAAGUCGAGCGAACAGACGAGGAGUUUGCUCCUCUGACGUUAGCGGCGGACGGGUGAGUAACACGUGGAUAACCUACCUAUAAGACUGGGAUAACUUCGGGAAACCGGAGCUAAUACCGGAUAAUAUAUUGAACCGCAUGGUUCAAUAGUGAAAGACGGUUUUGCUGUCACUUAUAGAUGGAUCCGCGCCGCAUUAGCUAGUUGGUAAGGUAACGGCUUACCAAGGCGACGAUGCGUAGCCGACCUGAGCGGGUGAUCGGCCACACUGGAACUGAGACACGGUCCAGACUCCUACGGGAGGCAGCAGUAGGGAAUCUUCCGCAAUGGGCGAAAGCCUGACGGAGCAACGCCGCGUGAGUGAUGAAGGUCUUCGGAUCGUAAAACUCUGUUAUUAGGGAAGAACAAAUGUGUAAGUAACUAUGCACGUCUUGACGGUACCUAAUCAGAAAGCCACGGCUAACUACGUG
rnacentral:rRNA from 1 species